UACGAAGGGGGCAAGCGUUGUUCGGAAUCAUUGGGCGUAAAGCGCGUGUAGGCGGUCUAUUAAGUCGGGUGUGAAAUCCCUGGGCUCAACCGAGGAAGUGCAUUCGAAACUGGUAGACUAGAAGAUGGUAGAGGAUGGUGGAAUUCCAGGUGUAGAGGUGAAAUUCGUAGAUAUCUGGAGGAAUACCGGUGGCGAAGGCGGCCAUCUGGGCCAUUCUUGACGCUGAGACGCGAAAGCGUGGGUAGCAAACAGG
rnacentral:rRNA from 1 species